AGCGAGGGUCAGAGACUUGGCCAGUGCCACACUGGGUGUAACCAGAGGGGCUGCCAUUUGGAUGGAGCCUGACUUUAGAGGUUAAGGGCUCCACUUCCCCAGGUUACCCUACUCCUGGGAUCCAAAGAGGACCUCAGGAUCCCGGCGCUCAGAGCUGGAUCCUGCCGGUUUCAAACCUCACUGCACUGCUGAGGAGCCCAGGAUCUGGGAAGCCAUGGCCACGUCCCUGGGCAGACGCAGGUCUAGAGACAUCUUCCGGACACCCGGACACCCCGGGGCACUGAUACCUCGGCUUCCCCCUCGACGCUAUUUCUUAUCCGUCCUCCCCCACCCAACACCAGCACGGAGCAGGGGAAACCAGGACUUAUCAAGACAAAGAACAAAAGUCAUGGGGGAAAGAAGCCAAGAGCCAUCUCCACUCUGGGGUAGGGCCCUUCAGUUUCGCCCCUUUGAAAUUUCAAAUUCCAGUUUGUGGACAAAGUCCUAACUAUCUCACAAUAUAGGUCCCCAACUGCUGACCAAACUCCAGUCCAGGCAGCCACCUGGCCCGAGGCUGGCCUGGCCUUGCUGCCGCCUUUGGCAGCUCCGAAGACCCCAGGGCAGGAGUCCGGGGCAGCGGGGGUCUAACAGGCCAUCCCUGUGGCCUCAGCCACCCACUGGGACCCUUGCUUGCCAACUGGGAGCACAGUUUCUGCCUGGAGCUGGGAUCUGGUGCCUGCUGACACCAGUGGCAGGGAUCGAACUCAGGACCUUGCGCUUGUGAGGCAGGCACGGUGCCACUGAGCUAAAUCCCCAGCCCUACAUGGUGAAAGUUACUCCUGGAAGGCAGCUGUCAGUCAAAGGACCACAUAUCCCAGACACCUGAGGCCAUGUGACGAAUCCUCAUCAGGGGAAAUCCAGACAUUUACAUGCCAACAUGAGACAGCCACUUUAGGUCCUGGAUGGGUCAAUUGGAGGCUCAAAUGCUAACACAAUGAAGAUUGCAGAGAGAAAGGGCAGAGCCUGGGCCUGGCCACACUGGUGACAGCUGUUGAAGGUCUAUUUAUGAAAUCUCUCCUAGAGGCUUUCAUCCCACAAAUGUAUAGGGAUCCUUUCCUCUGUGCCAGUCACCAUGAGAUCUUUUCAAACAAAGUCCAGAGAAGCCACCAAUGUCCCUGACCUCAUGACAUUUAUGGUCUGGUGAGGUGACCAUCACCAAAAUUCACACUGACAACUAUCUGAUCAGAGCGAUGAUGAGAACUACAAAGCAGAACUGACUCCAGGGGAAGAUCAAGUCUACCCAGUAUGGCCACAUGUGAACAAGAAGUCAAUGUUACCGAGGAUCUGCUUUGGACCAUCCUCUAACUCAGCAACUCUGCUGGAGUAACCUUAGCAGACGGUUACUGUUAUCCCCAGGAGAGGUUUUGCUUUUUCCUGAGACCACUUUUAGCAGAAAGAACCUCUCAGCAGAAUCUCCUUCUUCAUUGUACAGAUGAACAUUGGAGGUUCAGAGAGUGCUACUGACUUUCAAGUCUACAAGGCUCAAGAAAAGGAAGAAAAGGUGGAUCCAGGAUGGUAACUCGGUAGAGUCACAUAGCCACAAUCACACACAAACACACAUGCUGCAGCAGUCGCCCCACUGUCCCGAGACAAAGGUGCUCUUUUUGCACUGAUAGAUGCUGUGAAUCUGGCCACUGGAGCCUUCCUUUCUGCCAUAUCUCUAGCCAGGCCAAGAGGGCCAACAGUUGCCUGUGUCAGAUCCCAUGUCAGAUGAUUUUUUUCCAGUAAUCCUGAGCUUCAAUUUUUUCUUCUGUCCUUGGAGAUAACAAUCUUAUUUCAUUGUGAAAAUUAAAUGAUGUGAUAGGUACAGAGCAUCCAUCCAACCAUCCAUCCAACCAUCCAAUCAUCUGUCCAUCCAUCUGUCCAUCCAUCCAGUGACCGGUCUGUGGUGAGCUGCCUAAGUGGUGGGCACUGCACGGGGACUGGGGGAUAGUCAGGUAACUUCCAGUGUAGGCAGACCUGGGAGACAGCGAGAGACUGUCAGAUUAUGUUGCAGUUACAUCACUCUUUGGGAGGGGCCCUGUGGGGCCUUCUGUUCACCCCUCCUGGCCUAGGCUGAUGACCUGGCUCUCCUCCCACAAGCUGAUUGCUCUUCUCUUUGGGAGCCAGUGAGUCUUCCUCUGGCCACAGAUUCAACCAAAUUUUAUAAUGUAAGCUGAGGAAUACCUAGACUUUAUGCUGUCUCCUCUAUUCCCCUCCCACAGUGAAAUUAGCUUCAUUUUACAGACAGGGAAAUAGAUUCAGAGAGAGGAAAUGACUCCCCUAAGGUCACAUGGCUGAUGGAUGGGAGGUUGCUUGUUCAUUUCAUUUGUUGGCUUCUGUUAUUUUCACUGUACCACAUACUCCUGUCUCGUGGUGGGCAAAAUCAAUGCCCCAGAUUAUCAGAUCAGUCCCUGAUUUCUGUCCUUCACUGGCCAUCCAUCCCCAGAUGAUGAUGCUAUUAUGUAAUAUUUGCAGAGUUCUUACAAUGCGGGUGAUGUUAAGGCUUUACACUCUUUCCAGAAUGACCAUAAGAGAAGAUUCCAUUAUUUUGUCUCUACUUCAGAGAAAGCAAUGGUGGCACAGAACUGUUCAGUAAUAUGACUAACAUCACACAACUAGAACUGAGAUGUUCUGCAUUCCAGAGGCCAAAUUCUGUGUGUGUGAUCUAAAUAUGUUCAUAAAAUGCACUUAGUUUUUUUUAAAACCCAAAAUGUGUCCAAAAAAAGAAAAUUGAACAUUCUCUUGGAUCUCCCUCUCAGAAACCAAACUGUCUGUCACCAGUUUCUUUGUGUCCUCCCAUGGAAUUUUCUAUGCAAAUACAAAUGGAUGUGUACAUACAUGUGUCUAUAUCCGUUUUGUUAUCAGAAACUCUACACAAGUCUUCAGCUUGGUGUUUUCACCUACUGCAGCUUGGAGGUUCUUCCCUACCUGCACACAGAUGGACCUGUUUUCCUCCAACAAUGGCAUAUCAUUCCUCCACAAAUUUCCCUGUCCUCUCUCUACUGAGAGGCAAUUGGGCUACUUCCAGAAUGGGGUUCCCGAAAAUGGCAGAGCUCCAGCCCUUCCUGCCAGUGGGUCAUAGGACACCCCCAGCAAGAGAUCAUUCCGUUUCCGAUGCCUCUCACUGGGCAGUGUUUUAUACCUUUUUUCCUUGGAUUAUCCAGAGCCAAUGGAGGUUCAGAGGGACCAAGCUGAUUCUCCCUGGGGCUUCACUGCUCCAGUCCUGACCCCAGCUAGACUGAGCCCUGGUUAGAUGACCUAGGCCCAGCAUGUUCUGGUAGGCCUUGGUUUGCCUGCCGCAAGAGGUUGCUCCAUCUGGACCCUCAAAUUUUGUGGAAUUUUGGAAAGAAUCCUGGGCUGCAUUUCCAGGAAAGCCUUUUUGCUUAUAAAAGAACCAAGGAUUGCCCCAGGGCUCCUGCAGUCCCUCCCAGCACUUCCCACACCAAACAGGCUUUGUCCUUGUAGCAGACCUUAGCACAGGGGUCAAAUGCCUCCUCCUGGCUUCCAGCCCUUCUAGAGGAGCCUUGGAGGAGGGUCUUUGAGCCCAUCAGAAACACGCUGAAGGUGUCCUGUGGCCUUCGAAACAUGACCAUGGCCCCACCCUGUCCAGUCCCCCUCAUCCCCGGCCUGUGUCCCCACUCACCAUAAGGACCCUCCACUGGGGCCCCGAGGGGCACGUUCACACUGACCAUGGCCAAGCGAGCCCAGCUGGACACCCGGGGGCAUGGAGGAGCCGGAGCUCACAGCCAGCAGCAACGGCACCACCAGAAGCCAGUCCACCAGGAAGGCAGUGAGCGAGGCCAGCUGCCACCACCCGGUUAUCUUAUUGAUUCUUCUAAUCACCCAAGGUGGGUGGAUAUGUUAAAGAGUAACCAGUCACUUAGGGAACCUGUGGCUGGGGAUUGUCGCUAUCGUCAUGGUAACCGAGACUUGGCUAUAUCCGAGGUCCACUCAGGCCCCCGUCCUGCCUUCUGAGGUUAAGGCCACCUGGAGCCAGAUGUACAUGACAUUAGCCCCCCAACUUGAGGAAAGGAACUGAGCAGGAGGGGCUCGGGUGAGAGUCCAAAUUGGGUGGAGUUUUAUGGCUCUGAAGUAUGGGUGUGGCACCAAGCUGGAAAGAGUGGGAAAGCCUAGGGAGGGGUAGAGGAGAAAAAGGGAGAAGUGAGUUUACUGAGUACCUAUGGAUGCUGACUGCUGCCUAUAGGCAUUGUCACAUUUAAAUUAAACCUAGAGAUGAGGAAAUUGGGGCACAAAGAGGAAUGGCUUGCAUGGAGCAUCACAGUGGUUACAGAGAGGAGCCAGAAUUACAGCACCUGGUCUUUCACAUAACAAGUUUAUUGUGCACCUACUAUAUGCUAGGCCCUGUGCUAGACUCCAGUGACAGAGAUAAGCAAAGCAGAGGUCAUCCUGGCACCCUUGGAACGUGUAGACUAACGAAAGAGAUGUACCUUAAUCAGAUCAUCAAAGAUAUUAUUAUUAUGGGGCUGAGGAUGUAGCUCAGUGGUAGAGUGCUUGACUAGCAUGCACAGCACCUGAGGUGGAUCCCUAGCAUCACGCCCGUGCGCGCGCAUGCACACACACACACACACACACACACAGUGCUAUUAUUACAAACUGAUGGGUCCUGUGAGCAAGGGAGCAGCACAGGUCAGACUCCAGGCCUGUGGUUGCUGGUCCUCCCCCAUUCUCAGUGCCACCCGGCUGACACAGCACACCUGCAUUAGAGACCUGCGCUUUCUCUUUUGGAUCUUACACACCUGUGACCUUGCCUUUUCAGUACCAGCCUGUCUGAGCGUUGGAUCUCACAGCACGUUUGGGAAUUCUGAAAUCAAGGUCCUCGUCACAUUCAAGAGAGCUCAAAUGAGAGCAGUAGAACAAAUUUGGAAGUCAGAGGAAUCAGCCGUAGCUCUGCCAUUUUCUUGGUGUGGAGUUCGGUACAUUUCUUUAUAAUAUAAUCCCUCCUCCUGGGUUGUUCCACCUCUACAACAGUUACUGGAUAGAUCCCUCUCUGCUCACCCUCUUUUUCCAGGGCACUUGCACAACCACCUCUGGUCCCGAGUGAUGGACAGGCACAGGCUGUUUCCAAGUUUCCAGUCCUUUGCUCUUGGUUCUCCCUCCUGUGGCCUCUUCCUGACCUCCAUUUACUUCCUCUCCAGUUUAAAGCCCCCAGUCCAUGCUUUUAGUCCCUUUCUUGCUUCUCUCUCGGUUCCUUUGCUGACAAAAUCCCAAGCUGGGAUGAACCAAAGUAUUUUACUUUCUUCAUGUCUGCACCCAGGCAGCCAAUCAGCAUGAGACAGAAACAACAAUCACUUAGAGGGACUCCUGGGACCACCAUAAACUUCUGCUCACCAGCUUCCAACUGCCCAAAACUGCCACCCUCAGUUUCCCUGCUCCUUGUCCUCUUAGUCUCUAUCCAAUCUCAUCUACCCCAUAAUCUUUUCUCUCCUUGAACCUCUUCCUCUCUCAUCCUCAGUCGGAUAAGACUUCCCCUUCCUGGGGCCAGGGAUUUAGCUGAGUGGCACGGCGCCAGCCUUGAAAAUGCAAGGUCCUGAGUUUGAUCCCAGGUACCAAAAAGUAAAAAAAAAUAAAUAAAUAAAAACUUCCCCUUCCUCACAGAGAAAGCCAGGAGCCUAAAACUGAGCGAGCCAGUGAGUGUAGGUAUGAAAGUCUUCAAAAAGUUGAACACCUUACAGAGUUUGAAUGUUAUUGUUAGUGAGUUUGCUGCUGUUGUGCCUUUUUGCGGUGCUGGGGAUGGAACACAGGGCCUUGUAAAUGCUAGGCAAAAACGCUACCCCCUACAGCCUUGGCCCUCAAGUGUUACUGACAGAGAAAAGAAACAGCGCUCUUGCAGUGAAAGUUCCCCUUUCCCUGGAACAGCAGUGUCACAAAUGCAGGUACCAAUUUUAACCCCCUCGUUCCAAAUCCUCACCCCUCCAACUCUGAGUGUCCAAGGGCAGCACAAACAAGCACAACUUGCUUAUUUGCCCCUUUGGCUGCAGCUCUUCUCAGAGUCUGUAUCAGAAAUGGCCAGCCUGGAAUUCAUUCCCACCCUACAAAGGCAUUUUUUGCUGACUUGUCUCUCCCUUUGCACAAUCCCCAAGUGCUUCUCUUCUUAACUGAGAGGUGGGAGAGUGAGAAGUUAAGGGCUGUUUGUUGGUUUGUUUUUCAGGACAGUCUCAUGUACUUCAGGCUGGCCUUGAACUCAAGGUGAUCCUCUUGCCUCAGCCUCCUGAGUGCUGGGUCUACAGGAGUGUGCACCACAACACACCUCACACGGAGGUUCUUGAGCCUCAGUUUUUACAUCUAUAAAAUGGGGGUGAGAACAGUACUUAUCACUUAAAGUACUGCUUAGAAAGAUUAGGAGUGUGGAGUGCUCCCACACUAACUGAGCAGCUAAAGAUGCCAGUUGUCAUUCUCAUUAUCUCAGGCCCUCGGAACAUACGAAGGCCAACAUGGGGCUGAAACAGCACAAGUGUUGGGGGACGAUGAAGGGGAAUUCGAAUUCCUGCCUCCUCCUUACUAUCCAUGUGACUUUAUAGGGCCACUCCAUCCGAGAGCUUGGUAUCACUUAUAUUUCCAGAACAUUUGGGGAAAUCGACAUAGAAUUGGCAAGCCCUCGGCCCCCCAAAUAAGGGAAUUAAUAAAUUUUUAAAAUCCAACAUUUGCUAUCACCAUUGUUUUAUAAAAGGAAAGACCCUGACCCCUGCUCCCCCGUAGGAAGGGUAUCUGCAAAUAAUGAACUUGCAACAGUAUCCUCGGUCCCCUUGUUUAUUUCCAGACUUUAGGAAUUAGUACUCAUCCCAAGCCCCAUUUUUCUCUUCUGCAACAUGGAGUAAUAACAUGCAAAUGCACCCGCACAGGAAUCUAGCCUUUGCAUAGCAGGGCCGGCCUGUUAGUCCCCCUCUGCUGUUCAGGUGACAUGGUUUACCCUCCCCUCCCCACCCAACCCUCUGCCCUUGUCUUCUGACCCUCCUGGGAGCUGAGAGAAGAAGGGACCAGAAAGAGUCACUGUGUCCAAUCUCGAAGGACUUUAUUGGUGUUGACAGGGAGCACAGGUCACAGCCUGAAGGAGUGGGAGAGAUCAGGAGUGGACACAACUCACUUCGCUUAGGAUGACUGGGGUGACUCUGCAGAAAUGGCCUGUUUUUCAUCUUUGAUCGGAGCUCUCUCCUGCCAGGCAGGGAGUGGGCCCCAGCUGGAGGGCAAGGUCUGAGGGAGGAGAUUUUACUAUCUCUGGAGACAAAAGGACUUUUGUGUGUUAUGAUCUCUGGGUGGGAUGGGGCCAGGAGAGAGGAAAGGGUUUAUUGGAAUGAGGAGAUUGUAUGGGAGAAAAAGAGAGAAUCAGGGACUAGGAGACUGAGGUAGAAGCAGACAGGGGGACAGAGUAGACCGGAAGGCACUGGAAAAGGCAGAGUGAUCCAGAAAUUGCACAGGACAAGCGGAGAAAGAGACAGCACCCUCAGGUCAACUUUGGCUUUAGAUUCUCAGUCCUGCAGCUCGGAGAGGUGUCAGGGGCCUGAAGGAAAUGCGAGGGUCCAUGGUCUCAUGGGCUGGACCCUGUGUUUGGUCCAGGAACACACAAUAUUUGUCGAAGCAGAGUAGCCACAAGCUGACCUCAGUGUUUUCUAAAACCUUGGCACUGAAAAGUGUCCAAUUCAGGGAGGGAACCACAAGCCCUCAAAGGCUGCCUGGGUUGGCUGGCAAUGGAUGAGUGAAGGUGGAUUUCGGUGGAAAGACUGUUUAACAGAUGACUUUCGUUGGAUGGAAAAUUGGGUUUGAAGGCUAAGAGUCACAAAACCAAGCUGCCAGCACUGAUCCAUGUAGCCUGACUCUCAGAGAAUCAAACUAAUUAAAGAUGCAGGUCUUUCUAACAGAGC